rnacentral:rRNA from 1 species
CCUACGGGGGGCUGCAGUGGGGAAUAUUGGACAAUGGGGGGAACCCUGAUCCAGCCAUGCCGCGUGUGUGAAGAAGGCCCUCGGGUUGUAAAGCACUUUCAGUGAGGAAGAACGCCUGGUGGUUAAUACCCAUCAGGAAAGACAUCACUCACAGAAGAAGCACCGGCUAACUCCGUGCCAGCAGCCGCGGUAAUACGGAGGGUGCGAGCGUUAAUCGGAAUUACUGGGCGUAAAGCGCGCGUAGGUGGCUUGAUAAGCCGGUUGUGAAAGCCCCGGGCUCAACCUGGGAACGGCAUCCGGAACUGUCAAGCUAGGGUGCAGGAGAGGAAGGUAGAAUUCCCGGUGUAGCGGUGAAAUGCGUAGAGAUCGGGAGGAAUACCAGUGGCGAAGGCGGCCUUCUGGACUGACACUGACACUGAGGUGCGAAAGCGUGGGUAGCAAACAGGAUUAGAUACCCCUGUAGUC